rnacentral:rRNA from 1 species
UACAGAGGGUGCGAGCGUUAAUCGGAGUUACUGGGCGUAAAGGGCGCGUAGGCGGUUUAAUAAGAUUGAUGUGAAAUCCCUGGGCUUAACCUAGGAACUGCAUCGAUGACUAUUGAGCUGGAGUAUUGUAGAGGGUAGUGGAAUUUCCGGUGUAGCGGUGAAAUGCGUAGAGAUCGGAAGGAACACCAGUGGCGAAGGCGGCUACCUGGACAAAUACUGACGCUGAGGCGCGAGAGCGUGGGGAGCAAACAGG